GACGAACGCUGGCGGCGUGCCUAAUACAUGCAAGUUGAGCGAUGAAGAUUGGUGCUUGCACCAAUUUGAAGAGCAGCGAACGGGUGAGUAACGCGUGGGGAAUCUGCCUUUGAGCGGGGGACAACAUUUGGAAACGAAUGCUAAUACCGCAUAACAACUUUAAACAUAAGUUUUAAGUUUGAAAGAUGCAAUUGCAUCACUCAAAGAUGAUCCCGCGUUGUAUUAGCUAGUUGGUGAGGUAAAGGCUCACCAAGGCGAUGAUACAUAGCCGACCUGAGAGGGUGAUCGGCCACAUUGGGACUGAGACACGGCCCAAACUCCUACGGGAGGCAGCAGUAGGGAAUCUUCGGCAAUGGACGAAAGUCUGACCGAGCAACGCCGCGUGGGUGAAGAAGGGUUUCGGAUCGUAAAACUCUGUUGGUAGAGAAGAACGUUGGUGAGAGUGGAAAGCUCAUCAAGUGACGGUAACUACCCAGAAAGGGACGGCUAACUACGUG
rnacentral:rRNA from 1 species